rnacentral:rRNA from 1 species
UACGGGGGGGGCAAGCGUUGUUCGGAAUUACUGGGCGUAAAGGGCUCGUAGGCGGCCAACUAAGUCAGACGUGAAAUCCCUCGGCUUAACCGGGGAACUGCGUCUGAUACUGGAUGGCUUGAGUUCGGGAGAGGGAUGCGGAAUUCCAGGUGUAGCGGUGAAAUGCGUAGAUAUCUGGAGGAGCACCGGUGGCGAAGGCGGCAUCCUGGACCAACACUGACGCUGAGGAGCGAAAGCCAGGGGAGCAAACGGG